UUCAGACAUUAGAUAUCCACCGGCUCCACUCGUGACUCUUCUCUGACCUCCAUUGUUGCAGACCAACCGCCUACGAGUCUACGCUCUCAGUCCUCACGGCCUCACCGCCGUAACGUCCUCAGACAGUCAGACGCCAUCAGCCCAUCACGCCAACUCCUACACCUUUCCGCUGAGACGCCGGUGACCGGUGACCCUUUCCGCCCCGUCGACUGAGACGCGGAGACGCCGAGUCAGUCCGACAGUCUCCCACUCUUCCUCAGGGCACAGUAAUUCAUGCUCAGAUUCCAUCAAAUAUUGUACCCAAAUUUGUGGAUAGCUUUGUAGAAGGAAACGUCUAUGCUGUGAAGAAUUUUUAUGUUGUUUCAAAUUAUCAUACAUACAAAACUAGCAUGCACGAAUACAUGCUGCAAUUCAAUCACGAAACUAUUCUAAAAGAGUUGAGGUCAGACCAUUUUCCAUGGCACAUGUUUAGGCUAAGAUCAUUUCAGAGUUUGAAAGGAAAUCCAGAUUUAAAUGUCAAGGAGCUCAUAGAUAUUAUCGGACGUGUUGUUCAAGUGUAUGCACCCCAAGAAAAGACCAUUCAAGGGAAUAAAACUAGGCUUAUUGACUUUGUGUUAGAGGAUGCUCAGGUUUCCUAAGUGAUGAGGCAGACAGUCCAGUGCAACUCUUGGAAUGACCACACCACAUGAGGUUAGUGAAGGCCCUGCCAAGAGGUCCUUGCUAGAUGAGUUCUCAUCGACCAAGGAAUCGAAGAAAAUUAGAGAAACUGUUGUCAAAAGUUGAAAAGAUAGAUUAGGUUGGGGUUGAUGAUGAAUUGAAUUCUGUAAUGGAUAUUCUGAACAAUUUUUUUGACAAACUUGAGAUUUUGAACUUUUGUUUUAUUGUUUGUGCACUAUAGUCCUGAACAAUAAUGUACUGGAAUUGGUUUAUGAAGAGCUAUUCUAAUAGUUCUAAUUUAUAUUUAGUUGGUUUCUUACAUGUUAUGUGUGUAGUUGUCUGUGUUUUUGUUUGCAGGGAUCAGGUUAGGAUACAUAGCAGUGGGUAGUGGUGGAAGCAUAUUCAAGGUUUACAUUCUACUGGAGGAAGACUAGCCUAUGGAAUGGAAUUUAGCUCAUAAUAUGUGUAUAUAAUUGUAAAGUUUAUCAAAACUACAACAGUAAGAAAUGAUGUUUUCAAUCAAGCUGUAAAUCAGUAUCAA